rnacentral:tRNA from 19 species
GGGAGUAGAUGGGUGCUGGUGUGCCCUAUGGUCUUCAAAACCAUUGUGAGGGGUUAGUAGCUUCUUAGGUGGGUUCGAUUCCCACGUACUCCC